AUUUUCUGGUCCAAGGCUCACAGCAUUGACGCGUAUGCCACAAACUCGAAAUAAUUAACACUGCUUUGGUUUAAUUGUUAAAUUAUAUUUGAAAGUAAAUUUAUUUAGCAGUUGUAAUACAAUAUCUAACUAAAGGAAAUCCAUAAAAUGGCCAGUGGAGACACGUGGAGGGCGGACUACUUGGUCCAAGAGGAUUAUUGGAUGGCCAUGGCAGCCCUGACGGCUAAGAGAAGCAGGGACCCUAAAACUCAGGUCGAUUAUACCAUUCUUUUGAAUAGUAACCUCAUAUCGCACGUGAAUUUGAGUGCUGUCAUCAUGUUUGACUUACUCAAAGGCCAUCCUAAAUCUUCUAUUAAUCCUACUUCAAAUUAGAUAAUGACGGAGGAAA
ensembl:lncRNA